AAGUAAAUCUAACAUCCUCCGGUAGUCCUGGGACUAUUUCCACAAUCAUAGUACACGCUUACCUAAAAUAAUUCCCAACAACAUGAAUAAGUAUAAAAUUUGUAAAAAAAUUUAACAAGUAUAAGAUUGUAAUAAAGUUCACACAUGAACAUUCAGCCUCACAAGUGUGUGUUCGAAAAAAGGGGAGGGAGAGAAAAAUAGGGGGGGAGAGAGAAUAUCACACACAAGCAUACAACUUCACGUACAAUCUCGCAAUUCUACAAAAGAACAUAUACAUCAACUCUCAAACUCUAACAAUACAAUAGGUAACCAACGCACAACUCUAACCAUACCAUAAUCAACACAUUCUGACUCACAAUACAGAAAAGAGGGAGAGGAGGAGAAUCAACUCCUGGUCAAUGUACAUUGUCCUCUAUCCCUUUUGUAGGCAUGUACCAAUCGACCAAUUAUCCAUUCUUGUGAGUCAACAUCCUCUUUUACCCAUUACGUAGGAAUGUUUCCCUAAUUGCAAUUCCUGAUUCUAGGUUGAAUAUCUCACACUCACCCCUCACCCACCCCUUUCUAAGGUAUGUCCAACAUAAGCCACACACAAAUUGCCCGUCGCCACACACUUACUCUAGCCACAAAUACUAACUAUAUGAAUGCACGCUCAUCGCUUAUGUCAACACGCCAACCAGUAACACUCACAAGGUACCCAAAAGACUAAAUUACAAUAAAGUCUUAAAAUUUCCUAUACUCUCAAAGGUUUAUAAAUCAAAGCAAAUAAUACUUAUUCAAAUCAAAAUUUCCCAAUCACAAUCACUUCGCAAGUUAAAAAUAAACUAGAGUGUUUAAACAUGCUAUCAUAUAAAUUCAUUUGUAUUCAACAUCUACAACUACAAAAGCACGUAAAAUCAAUGAAUUCAUAAUUAAGGCCAACUCGGCUGAUCAACAAUCAAUUUAUCACGUAAAUUCAUAUAAUUCAUGUUUGUUCACACCUAGUUAUUGACAAAAUUAUAAAUUCAACAUGUGAAAACCAAAACUUCUGUCCUCAGCGGUCACCCGACUCAUACGCGUCCUUGCCCCAGUGCGAUGGCACAUGCCACAACCUCACAAUGAGCUUUUCUGUCUGUGAAAUAAAUUUGGGGAAAAGAGAGAAUUGGAAAAAUUUGGGGAAAUUGGA
rnacentral:lncRNA from 1 species